rnacentral:lncRNA from 1 species
GUAAAACCUGUUUCUUGAAUUUAAUCAUUCCAUCCUCUCUGCAGAUUCCCGUUAAUUUGCCCUUUGUUUCUUCCUCAAUUCUUCAGAUAUCAAAACUGCUGUAAUACUCCCCAGGGUUGUACAACUAGCCACGUUCAAGAACCACCGAUUACUGAUCUGACUGAGGAAUCAGCAAUGGAUUUCGACCAUAAUGAGAGACCUAAUUCCACGCUCUAC